rnacentral:snRNA from 1 species
UCCAAGGCUAAAUACGGG